GGUGUAGCUUAGUGGUAGGGCAGCCGCCCUGCAUGCAGAGGGUCCUGGGUUUGAGCCCCGCCAGCAGCA